rnacentral:lncRNA from 1 species
GGAAUGGUGUCCGAGGUUUUCCCUCAGAGGCCUGGCAGGAAGGCCUUUCAGUUUCUUGCCACUGGCUGAGGCUGAGUUUCCCUGCUUUCCCGACACCAGAACUCACCAGUCUUCGACAGAAGGUCGCCUACUUGGAUAAGGAGUUCAGCAAAGCUCAGAAGGCACUGAGCAAGAGCAAGAAAGCUCAGGUAAGGGGAUCCCUUGUGGGUGAGUGUGACUGGGAGAUGUCUUGGUGGGCUAUUUCUGUAUGCUGAUAUUUCCUUGUACUGGCCUUUCUUUCUUUGUGUGCCUUUACAUCUGCUACUACCUCACUGCCAUGUGUUGCUGUAUCUGUCCUUGUUUCCCUGUAUUUGUCCUAACUCUGUGUCUCUUUCCUUCUCUCUCUUUCCAUUCU